AAAUUUGCCCUCUAGGGUUCCGGUUUUUAUAAAAACGUCUGGACCGAGAGAGGGCGUACAGCAUCUGCUGUAUACACGGAGGGAUAAAAGCCCGGGAGAC
rnacentral:sRNA from 2 species